rnacentral:RNase_P_RNA from 1 species
GUUGCCGGCCAGGCAGCCGCGGGCGUCGGAGAGAAAACCGGCGUUCGAGGAAAGUCCGCACACCGUAGGGCGGGGUUGUCGGGAGACCGACCCGGGGAAACCCGCGGGAAAGUGCCACAGAAAUACACCGCCUAAGCGGCGGGGCCGCAGUGCCCAAGCAGCCGGCUCGGCCGGCUGCGCCGGGAUCCUAUGAGUCCCGUCGCCGGCAAGGUUGAAAUGGUGCGGUAAGAGCGCACCGGCGGCGUGGCGACACGCCGGCCAGGCAAACCCCACCCGGUGCAAGGCCAAGCAGGGACGUUGACGCUGCCCGCCGA